UUGCAGUCAUUACACAGACUGUUAUUUCCCACGGAGCCAAUGUACACUAUCUACAAAUAGCAGCCCCUGUGGGAGUACCUACUGCCUGUUUCUGGCAUAGGUUGCCCUCAGGGACCUUGGAGACAGUC
rnacentral:snoRNA from 1 species